CACCUACACAAUGUUGGCCUACAACACUUCAACCACUUCUUCUUCUUCAUUUUUUAACAACAAAUCUUUUAUAAAUUUUUGUUGGAUCUGAGAACCCACCUUUCUUUAAUCUUCAUUUUGUUAUUAGCAUCUGAACACAUGAAUUAUUGUGGGUUAAGGUUAAUCGAUUGUGGGUGUUCAGAUAGGAUCGAGCACCAUUAAAUCUAUCGAUCCUGAACCCUCAUUGGCUCGCCGGAGUUAUUCACCUACGCACUCUAACCACCGCUCGUCCUUCCUUCUGCUCCGCCCGCAGGCGGAGAUUGCACGAAUCAGCAUACGAGAAGGAAGUAGAAGAUGAGGUUCCUCCGGUGGAAGAGAUCUUGCAUCAACCAGCAGAGGAAUACUAGGAGCCUUAUCCGGAUACUGGAGUGUUCAUGCCAGCAAGUGAACAGAACUCGGAGGAACUGGCAGUGAGUUGCGGCACGGAGGAAACGGUGUUGGAUGAGAAGGCGUUUUUCCGGCCACAAGAGGAUCUGGAAGCGCCUCCACCGGAAUCCUUCAUAGGCGAGAUACCUGCUGUUGAUCCCUUUGCUGAAUGAUUUCUUUUGUAGAAAUGCUUCUGUAUUUGGAAUCUAUCUUUAACCUAAAGGAAUGACAUGAAGAACCUGUGUAUUUUUUUUUA